CAUCUGCUAUGAUGAUACAUGAAAAAAUUCACAUGUCAGACUUCAGAGAUUUCGGUCUAUGAGAAGAAUAUUUCAUGUUUUCUGAGCUGACG